AUGAACGCUGGCGGCGUGCCUAAUACAUGCAAGUCGAGCGAACGGACGAGAAGCUUGCUUCUCUGAUGUUAGCGGCGGACGGGUGAGUAACACGUGGAUAACCUACCUAUAAGACUGGGAUAACUUCGGGAAACCGUAGCUAAUACCGGAUAAUAUUUUGAACCGCAUGGUUCAAAAGUGAAAGACGGUCUUGCUGUCACUUAUAGAUGGAUCCGCGCUGCAUUAGCUAGUUGGAAAGGUAACGGCUUACCAAGGCAACGAUGCAUAGCCGACCUGAGAGGGUGAUCGGCCACACUGGAACUGAGACACGGUCCAGACUCCUACGGGAGGCAGCAGUAGGGAAUCUUCCGCAAUGGGCGAAAGCCUGACGGAGCAACGCCGCGUGAGUGAUGAAGGUCUUCGGAUCGUAAAACUCUGUUAUUAGGGAAGAACAUAUGUGUAAGUAACUGUGCACAUCUUGAAGGUACCUAAUCAGAAAGCCACGGCUAACUACGUG
rnacentral:rRNA from 1 species